rnacentral:rRNA from 1 species
GACGAACUCUGCCGGCGUGCCUCAUACAUGCAAGUCGAACGAGUGGCGGACGGGUGAGUAAUGUCUGGGAAACUGCCCGAUGGAGGGGGAUUACUACUGGAAACGGUAGCUAAUACCGCAUACCAUCGGAUGUGCCCAGAUGGUAUUAUCUAGUAGGUGGGUUAACGGCUCACCUAGGCGACGAGCCCUAGCUGGUCUGAGUGGAUGACCAGCUACAAUGGAACUGAGACACGGUCCAGACUCCUACGUGAGGCAGCAGUGGGGAAUAUUGCACAAUGGGCGCCAGCCUGAUGCACCCAUUCCGCGUGUAUGAAGAAGGCCUUCGGGUUGUAAAGUACUUUCAGCGAGGAGGCGUUACUCGCAGAAGAAGCACCGGCUAACUCCGUGCCAGCCGCCGCGGUAAUUC